UACAGGGGUGGCGAACGUUGCUCGGAAUUACUGGGCGUAAAGCGCAUGUAGGCGGAUCCAUAAGUCGGGCGUGAAAUCCCCAGGCUCAACCUGGGAACUGCGCUCGAAACUGUGGGUCUCGAGUGUCGGAGAGGAUGGCGGAAUUCCUGGUGUAGAGGUGAAAUUCGUAGAUAUCAGGAGGAACACCGGUGGCGAAGGCGGCCAUCUGGACGACAACUGACGCUGAGGAGCGAAAGCGUGGGGAGCGAACAGG
rnacentral:rRNA from 1 species